CCUACGGGAGGCAGCAGUGAGGAAUAUUGGUCAAUGGACGAGAGUCUGAACCAGCCAAGUAGCGUGAAGGAUGACUGCCCUAUGGGUUGUAAACUUCUUUUAUAUGGGAAUAAAAUGUUCCACGUGUGGGAUUUUGUAUGUACCCUAUGAAUAAGGAUCGGCUAACUCCGUGCCUGCAGCCGCGGUAAUACGGAGGAUCCGAGCGUUAUCCGGAUUUAUUGGGUUUAAAGGGAGCGUAGGUGGAUUGUUAAGUCAGUUGUGAAAGUUUGCGGCUCAACCGUAAAAUUGCAGUUGAAACUGGCAGUCUGGAGUACAGUAGAGGUGGGCGGAAUUCGUGGUGUAGCGGUGAAAUGCUUAGAUAUCACGAAGAACUCCGAUUGCGAAGGCAGCUCACUGGACUGCAACUGACACUGAGGCUCGAAAGUGUGGGUAUCAAACAGGAUUAGAUACCCCAGUAGUC
rnacentral:rRNA from 1 species